rnacentral:rRNA from 1 species
UACAGAGGUCCCGAGCGUUGUUCGGAUUCAUUGGGCGUAAAGGGUGCGUAGGCGGUCUUCUAAGUUUGAUGUGAAAUCCCGGGGCUCAACCCUGGAAUUGCAUUGAAUACUGGAGGACUAGAGUACCGGAGAGGAAACUGGAAUUUACGGUGUAGCAGUGAAAUGCGUAGAUAUCGUAAGGAAGACCAGUGGCGAAGGCGGAUCUCUGGACAGUUACUGACACUGAGGCACGAAGGCCAGGGGAGCAAACGGG